UACGUAGGGUCCAAGCGUUAUCCGGAAUCACUGGGCGUAAAGCGUGCGUAGGCGGGAGUUUAAGUGCAAUGCGAAAUCUUGUGGCUCAACCAUAUAGACUGUAUUGCAUACUGGACACCUAGAGGACGGCAGAGGCAAGUGGAAUUACUGGUGUAGCAGUGAAAUGCGUAGAUAUCAGUAGGAACACCAAUGGCGAAGGCAGCUUGCUGGGCCAUUACUGACACUGAGAAGCGAAAGCAUGGGGAGCGAACAGG
rnacentral:rRNA from 1 species